GUAGUCCAUGCCGUAAACGUUGGGCACUAGGUGUGGGGGACAUUCCACGUUUUCCGCGCCGUAGCUAACGCAUUAAGUGCCCCGCCUGGGGAGUACGGCCGCAAGGCUAAAACUCAAAGGAAUUGACGGGGGCCCGCACAAGCGGCGGAGCAUGCGGAUUAAUUCGAUGCAACGCGAAGAACCUUACCAAGGCUUGACAUGGACCGGACCGCUGCAGAGAUGUAGCUUCCCUUCGGGGCUGGUUCACAGGUGGUGCAUGGUUGUCGUCAGCUCGUGUCGUGAGAUGUUGGGUUAAGUCCCGCAACGAGCGCAACCCUUGUCCUAUGUUGCCAGCACGUAAAGGUGGGGACUCAUGGGAGACUGCCGGGGUCAACUCGGAGGAAGGUGGGGAUGACGUCAAAUCAUCAUGCCCCUUAUGUCUUGGGCUUCACGCAUGCUACAAUGGCCGGUACAGUGGGUUGCGAUACUGUGAGGUGGAGCUAAUCCCUAAAAGCCGGUCUCAGUUCGGAUCGAAGUCUGCAACUCGACUUCGUGAAGUUGGAGUCGCUAGUAAUCGCAGAUCAGCAACGCUGCGGUGAAUACGUUCCCGGGCCAUGUACACACCGCCCGUC
rnacentral:rRNA from 1 species